ensembl:lncRNA
AUGAGGAGGAGCGGUUCAGCGUCGGCCUUCAUCAGGUUUAAAGUCAAACGAGGAAGGAAUGUGGCAGAAAUGAACAGGGUCACUGGAAUGUUUUCAUUUUCCUCCCACAUCCAGUCGAGUCUUCAUGUCCUCACUGACAGACAAAGCUCUCUUCUGCAGUCAGAACAUUUCAACAUGGAGGUUUGUGUAAAGUUUUCAAAGUUCAACACACAUAAGAGUGGAUUUGUUCACCUGCCACAAUAAAAAUCUUUAAUAAUUAACAUCUUUUACCCUUCAGGAAUGAGAUCACGGUGAGACAGAUCCACCAAACAAAUCACAGCCACUGGAAUCUAAUGAGAGAAAUGAAAUGAAAUGAAAUGAAAUUAGUAAAUUAAAAUGUGUUAAAUUAUAUUUAUUUGCAAAGAAUGUAAAUACACGUAUUUAAAAAAAAUGCAUUA